rnacentral:lncRNA from 1 species
GAAUCGAACCUAACAUCCUCAUGGACACUAGGUCAGGUUUUUAAUCCACCGAGCCACAGAGGGAACUCCCAUAUAUUUCUUUUAAAUAAGAAGGGGGAAGAUGUUAUUCUUGAUUGAUUUGAAAGUAUGUCUCCAAUUUUACUAUGUUUUUGCAAAGAGUUCCAAAUUCCUAGGUAGAGACCCAUUCUCCUUGAAAGAUGAAGUAACUUAAACACUGGUGAGCUGCUGGGAAUGUGCCAAAGGAAUACAGUACUUGGGAGGGAGGAAGCCUAUGGGUAGAUGUGUGUUGCUGAAAUGACUUACUGGAAAAUGGAAUCCCAGCUGCUAGUACCUGCCUCGAUGUGUAGCCUUGUGAGGAGGGAAUGCCUGGACAAGCUGAAAGCACAGGAUCUGGCAUAUCAUCGGUGCUCCAUGACUGCUUCCCUCCAUCCCUCCCUCCUUGUUUUCCCAGGGGAUUCUGAGGCCACUGUGAUCCCUCUGUUAGCUCACUCAUGCAGUCACUUUUAGCUUUAAUAGUUUUAUUCACUUACCAAAUGCUAGUUUCAGAAUAUACCUUAGUAAGAAGAGAGUGAGUGGUAUUUGGUUCAGAUAGUUUUUCUGCUUUGUUUCAGUGUGACUGACUACCUUCAAGUUGGAUAUAGUAGAGGCUGAAGUUAUGGGAUGAGAGUUUCUCCUCUGUGAAUUUGAAUGGUUGGAAUCAGGUGGCUCUCUCUCCCUCAUCUUAUGGGGGAUACUGGGGACCAUUUUUCUCUGGGUGCUUCUUACCUGGUGUGAGAAGAUGCUGGGCUCCGAAUGGGAGAUUUGCACAGGGCUAUGGUAAGCCAAAAGGGUAUUCAGAAAAAUUAAUAAUAUGUCUUGAAGACCAAGUAACACUCAAAAACUUCAGUAAAAGCAGGAUCUCUUGUGUAGGCUGUGUGCUCAGCUCCAGCCACCAUGCCACUGGGCCCCAAAGACUGAAAAAGACACCUGGGAAAAGCAACUUUUCAGAUUCAUUGGCUUUGGAAUUGGUUUGUGACUUAUAAACUCGACUUAGAACAUAAUGAUGUCAUUUCCAUCUUCGCAAAUGUGGAAUACUCUCAAAUCUCAGCUGCAGGGGUGGCUUUAUGAGAUGAAAUUGCUCCAUGGUGCUUUAAAUGGAAAUUGCUGCAUCAGCUACAUGGGACUUUCUGUUCUGGAAGCUAAUUGAAAUUGCUCUGGCAGAUGCCGGAAACAAAUGCUGGGUUAUAUUAGUUUAUGGGGGUCACUUUCUCUACUGUGUCACAUGUAAAACCUGUCACACUGGCCUGGAUUCUAGGAAAGCCCGCUGGUCUAGGAGAAAGAGGGUUUGGCCACAAUCUCACAUCCAGUACAUACUUCUGGUGAUGUUCCAGCCCUGCCUGGAAUAAUAAUAAUAAUACCUUCCUCCCAUGACGACCACACAGGUUUGUUGACAAGAUUUAAUGUGAAAGUGUUUAAAAGGCAAAACAUACUGGGCAGAUGAGUCAUUCAAUUUUUAAUACGGAUUUUGUCCUCCUAUCCAUAUUAAAUCUUUUAUUCAGUAGAUAUUUAUGGCGUGCCUAAUAAUAAUGGUUACAUUUUAUUGCAUGCCUAGAAUAUGCCAGAACACUCCAUUUUUUUUUUAAUGUUUUCACUCAUUUAAUCUUCACAAUAGCUCUACAGUUUGUUUUAUCAGUGAGAAAACUGCUGUCACUGAGGCAAAGAGGUUAAAUGAUUUGAUCAACAUCUGCUGAGCGCUUUAACUAUGCUUGCACUGUGCCGGAUGUCGAGAGCACACAGAUCGAUAAGAUACAGCCCGAAGCACAAGGACGUUAAAUCCUAGUUGGAGGGAGAACAAGAAGAGAAAAACUGACCAGGCUAAAGAUGGGAAUCUGCUUGGUGCUGGAGGAGCCUCGUGGAAAGACAUCUGGUAGCACUUUACACAAAUAGUGGGGGAGUGGGGGUGAGUCUAAGGGGUUAGGAGGAAGGUGGGACUAAAGGGGGCCUGAGCAUACACAGGGCAGCUGGACUUUGAAGUCAGUGGUUAUCAGAGGUCAAAGGAAAGAGAGUUAUCAGGAACUGAACAGACAAAGCAAGGUGAGGUCAGAAGCUUAGGGAGACUGUCCACUCCAUAUGGCCGUAUGUCCACAGCAGCCCUAUUACCCAGACCUUAAUGCGGAACCCACUAUCUAGAGAGCUUCAGUUUCUGCUGCAGCUUGGAACCAGUGACUCAGUUGACCAAUGUGGCGGGAUUCCUCAGUGUCCCUGGCCAUUUCAUGGGGGUCAUGAGUAUAGAAAGGACAUUUGAUGAGAUCAUCCAGGCUUGUUCUCCUGACCAUCCCAUUUCUCAGUAAGUCAUUUGAUCAUCACACGCCUACCUACAGGAUUCAUCUCUUCCAAAUAUUGUAUUCCUUUGGUACAUUCCAGGGGCUCAGCAAUAUUUUUUAAGUUAGUUCAUCCUUUUCUCAGCAUGCAGCAGCCUGAUAUGGAAUCUCAGCUCCCAAACCAGGGAUUGAACCUGGGCCUCAGCAGUGAAAGCAUCAAGUCCCAACUACUAACCCACCAUAGAACUCGCCCUAAGUUAUUUUGUCUUUUAAGGAGAAUGUACUUCUAACCAGGAAGUUGGAACUCUUUGCAAAACAGUAAAAUGAGAGAUAUGCUUUCUAGCUAUUCAAAAAUAGUAUCUUCCCAUUCUUUUUUUUUUUUUUUCCUUGUCUUUUUUUAGGGCUGCACCCACAGCAUAUGGAAGUGCCCAGGCUAGGGGUCAAAUCUGAGCUGUAACUGCUGGCCUAUACCACAGCCACAACAAUGUGGGAUCUGAGCCAUGUCUGCGACCUACUCCACAACUCACGGCAGUUCCGGAUCCUUAACCCAUCGAGAGAGGCCAGGGAUCAAACCCACAUCCUCAUGGAUUCGUUGUUGCCAUGGAGCCACGAUAGGAGCUCCCACAUUUUCCCCAUUCUUAUUUAAAAGAAAUAUUUGAAAUUGGAAAAUUGAAAUAAAAAUAGAAAGUCACCAUCUACUUGAAAUGAUUUAAACACUUCAUUGAACAUUGCAUUAUGUCUGAACUUCCUAGUAGGCAAGGUAAAAGGGAAAUGGACUGGAUUAUUUAGUUCUUUAGACCUGAAGGAGCUGAGUACAACACUUUGAUCUGGAGAGAAGCUUUCCUUAGGUCUAUGCAAGCGUUUUCUAUAGAAGCAUGGCGAAUAUGCUACCCCAAAGGGUACUUUUAGGUAAAGAUGCUCCUUGACAUUUUUCCAAAGUUGCAAAUUGAUACAAGAAGAGAUGUUUGGUUUUUGUUUGUAAAUGAAUGAACUGGAGGGGAAAUUGUACCACUUCUGCACUGUGAUUUCUAAGAGUGAGGGAGAAUUGCCCCCUUCUGAAAGUUUUGAGAAACAGAGCAGAGAGGGGAAAACUGUUCUCACUAUCAGGGACUAGAGAUACCUCUUUUGAGUGUGAUGGGCUGGAGUGUUUGGGUCAUGGUCAUUGUUGUCCUGUAGGAAGGGCCUCCAUGGCAGAGCUAGGCCGCCUCGUGAGGGAGGGCGCCCUCUAGUGGUGAUUACCCCAAAGGACUGACACCCAGGUCAAUAGGGCUCUCGGAGGCCCUGCAGGCUUGUGCUGGUGACACCUAGGAGCCUGGGGAAGCUUCCACUGAUAGUCUUUUCUGGUGAACAGCUUUGUGAUAUGUUAUCACCCUUUCAGUUUUUGUGGAUUCUGUAGGAGGUGGGAUGCAUGUCAUCACCAUCGGUGGACUGUUGGUGCUUCUUCCUUGGAAGCAUGUGUAACCCUUGCUGGAAGGAGCACUGUGCUCUUCCUCGGCCCUGGGCAGCCCCGAGGGCUCAUCGCUGCCUUUUCACUAACUCUCCUGCCUCCAUUCGUCCAGCCUGCCCUCUGCUCCGCUUCAGCAACUCAGAGCGCAACCUGCAUCGUUCACCUGCUCCUUUUCUUCCCAGGGCCCCUUACCCUUGUCCUCCUCAGAGGUUCUAGUUCUGUCUUAUUCCUGUAGGACCCCUCGGCCACCGACUUGGACCCCUUCCCACCAAGCGCUGCUUCAGAACCGAGAGGCCACAGUGCAGUGUUUGAUUUGCCCUUGGGUCCUGCAAGCUGAGCGCGGCAGCCUGGGGAGGGAUUCACAGGGAGAGGAGAGGAGACACAGGCAUAACUAAUUCUUCUUCAAAUGUCGUAAGAGCUGGUGUCAAUUACGGAGGGAGAAAACAUUUCCAAUAGGACCCAUAGAGGCUUCACGAAGGAGACUCUUCCCUAAAGCAACGAGCGCUUCUCCCCUAGUGGGUUGGGAACAGGAUACAGGUGAACUCAAUAGCCAUCGGCUCAGCCCGUGCACUCAGCCCCUGGAGGACCUGGCAGGCCUGGAGUUACCAGUAAGACCAGUUUGCCUCGGUGGGCUGUGCAGACGCUGUUAUUUCCCCUGUGUAUCCGGGUGCGAAGAAGGUAAGAACACUCUUUUCAAGACAGGCUAGAUUGGGACGUCAGGAAAGUGGGUCUGCGGGGGAGUUCCGGGGCAGUCAAGGUUGGACAGAGAAAGUCGAGAUGUUUCUGUGUUUUUACGCGGUUUUGGAUGUGACUGUGCUCCGUGCGUGUCGCAGUGGCCAGCGCGGCUGCAAAGAUGGGUCAGGGCGUCACCACACAGGCCAGGCUCCUGGCCUUGAGUUGUACUUUGCAGUCGGGGUAGUCGGUGCAGGUUUAUGCCUAGUGGAGGGAUUUAAUUUGAGCAAAGCUUCUGGUGUGCUCAGACACCUCUCCCGCGAGAAAGGGGAGAGAGGCUGGAGAAGCUGGAGGAGGUUUUGCAAUUGUGUACGUGAGAAAUAAGGGAGGGAUGGAGUCCUUCAUUGUCAAAGGCACCAAGAAACUGGUUCCUGAGUCUCACGGCCAGAGACCAGCCCCAAAGGAGUACAGUUAAGUGGCUCCAAUCUCACAUUCUUGGGCAGAAGGUGUGGCCUGCUGUAAUUAGCUCUCAGGAUGGUGAGGGUACAGUGUACAAGGCUGGCAGCUGUGUGUGGGGGUGGGGGAAAGGGGGCAGCAGGUCUCUAUGAGCUGCCCAGACCCCCCAGAACACCUGUGCUCUUCUUACAUCCUUGUCGCUUACUUGGCUAUCAUUUUGCAAACCCCCCCCCGCCCCGCCCCACAUUCAGUAGGUCUCCUAAUGGAGACUUAACCACCUAUGACAUUAUUUUCAUGUUAAAAUCUUUAUGCUAAUACCCAAGGACUUUGACCCCCAAAAGUGCAUGUCUGUAUUUUAGGACCUAUGCUUUUGCACUGCAGCGAAGACUGUUCUAGCCUUGUAAGGGGUCUUUGGCCUCCUCCCCGACUGAAGCGUAUACAGGAAGGAAUGGGAGAGAUGGAGUCCUCUGAUAUUAUCUCUGCUGUUUCCAUGAUUUAUUUUCCCGUUAGAACAUUUUCAUCGAAGGAAACAAUAUAACUCAGCAGAUCCUUGCAACAAUUCUUCCUAAAAACAGAAUGUAUUGUAGAAAAACAAGCGUUUGCUCAUCAUAACUCUGACCGCAUUAUGCCUAGUGUAUCUGCACAUUUAUGAUCUCAAAGGGCCAUUAAAUUUAAGUAAAAUUGCACACAUUAGAUAAAUGCAGAACAGGUAAAUGGUAGAUGCCAGUUUCAAUUAGAGUGAAAUUUAACAGAGGGCAUAUACAUGUGUGUUUUAUGGUAUUGAGUUCCUGGGUAGAUUUCUUUUAUUUUCCAAAUUUUAGUAAUUCUGAAAUCCAAGGAGGCAAGUAUCUAAAAACCCCCAGUUAGUCUUACAAGGAACCUGAAAGUGGGUCCUGGCUGGGGUGUGCAUAGCUGUGCCCCCUCCCCAGGAAUGUAGAGUUUCCCCAGUAGCAGGGGCCUCAGGAACCGUGGCUUAUCUGCCUGUAGCAUUGGUUUUGUUGAAUGUGAAGUAAUUAAAAUAUUAUUUUUAUGUUAAAGCGAACAGGUACAUUAGAAUAUAUGAUACAUAUAUAAUGCAAGAGGAACUUGAUUUUUUAAAUUAAAAAUUUUUCAAAUUAAAACCUGCCAGAUGGAGUUCCUGUGGUGGCUCAGUGGGUUAAGAACCUGACUAGUAUCCAUGAAGAUGAGGGUUCGAUCCCUGGCCUUGCUCAGUGGGUUAAGGGUCUGGUUGCAGCAAGCUGAGGCGUGGGUCACAGAUGCAGCUCGGAUCUGGCGUGGCUGUGGCUGUGGCAUAGGCUGGCAGCUAUAGCUCUGAUUUUACCCUAGCCUGGGAACUUCCAUAUGCCACAG